UUUUAUGGGCAGGUGUUGGCAUUAUAACAUUAUGUAUAUAACAUUAUAACACGUCUAUUCUUUCCAGACAAGACUGCAUAAAGAGACAAUAAACCCUUGGAGCUGUUUGUGUGGUGUAGACAUGAUGACAUAAAAUGAUCUUGUACGGUUUACUAUGUGAGAUAAGUAAAGAGCUUCCUGCGAGUUCAAGUUGAGUGAGGCACUGAUUACGAAAAAAUGUAAUAAGACUUCCUGUUGGUGGUAAGGAAACCUAGUUUAUGCAAAACCAGCACGGGUUGUCAUUUUACGCACGUCUUCCUCCAAUGAAGCGUACAUUGCGGGACUUAGUGCAGGCAAGAAAGAGGCCGCCAACGUUUUCGACGAAGCAGAAAUAAAAAUUCGCCCUAUUGUCUGCUUGAUUUCGUUGUAUCCCCCAUUCGAUCGACGGGCCUGAUUGAGCUAGGCAAAACAUGCAUGGAUAAAAUUCUUCGAUCUUCACGGCAACAUGACGUUUCCAUACGCCGACCGAUUAUAUUCCACAAUACUCUCAUCCUUCAGUGACAUACAGGACUAAUGAAAGGGUGAAUUAGUUAAGCUUCAGAAGCUGUGCAAAGAUGUAAGUUUAAUGUCGACGGCUUGUAUAAGGCCAACUAAGCUUUCGACAUAGCUUUUCAAAAUUCAAACAAAACAUAGACUGUGCCCUGCCGCUACGCGAAACUAACUCUCGUUGACAUCUAUCGAAAGGAAAAUGCAACGUGACUCAGACCUGUUUCUAAGGAUUGGCCCAACCCACGUCUGCAAUCCGGAAAGGAAACAGGGGUGACUGAAACCUUAGGGAAAUUUGUAAGAAUAGAUAAGUUCUCAUGAUGACAUAGCAGGAUCAACCUAGAACGUACUGUAAAAUUUCUAUUUAGCGUUCAAAACAUUCGUUGGAAAAAAAAGAAGCCAAAGUUGUUGCAUUGUUAAAGUUAACAUUAGGAUUAUGACGUAAUACGGCAUCUCAGGGCUCAUAAACUCUACGGACCUUAAAUGAUCCGGUCGAAGAAAUAGGAAGCAUCAGGGAGCAUGGCUUCCUGACCAACUAGGGGGCUAACGGCAAAACAAUGAACGUGAGACCAAUUACUCUGAGUGGUAGCUCAACAACUUGAACAUCGAAGCAAUUAGAUGUAACGGUGUCAGCCGAACUCUAUGUAACAUUCGUCUGUGUGUAUUCGCGAAAUUACCAUGUAAA